rnacentral:rRNA from 1 species
UACGUAGGGUGCAAGCGUUAUCCGGAAUUAUUGGGCGUAAAGAGCUCGUAGGCGGCUUGUCGCGUCGACUGUGAAAUCCCGCGGCUCAACUGCGGGUCUGCAGCCGAUACGGGCAGGCUAGAGUUCGGUAGGGGAGACUGGAAUUCCUGGUGUAGCGGUGAAAUGCGCAGAUAUCAGGAGGAACACCGGUGGCGAAGGCGGGUCUCUGGGCCGAUACUGACGCUGAGGAGCGAAAGCGUGGGGAGCGAACAGG